rnacentral:rRNA from 1 species
AUUGAACGCUGGCGGCAUGCUUUACACAUGCAAGUCGAACGGUAACAGGCCGCAAGGUGCUGACGAGUGGCGAACGGGUGAGUAAUGCAUCGGAACGUGCCCAGUCGUGGGGGAUAACGCAGCGAAAGCUGCGCUAAUACCGCAUACGAUCUAUGGAUGAAAGCGGGGGACCGUAAGGCCUCGCGCGAUUUGAGCGGCCGAUGUCAGAUUAGGUAGUUGGUGGGGUAAAGGCUCACCAAGCCAACGAUCUGUAGCUGGUCUGAGAGGACGACCAGCCACACUGGGACUGAGACACGGCCCAGACUCCUACGGGAGGCAGCAGUGGGGAAUUUUGGACAAUGGGCGCAAGCCUGAUCCAGCAAUGCCGCGUGCAGGAAGAAGGCCUUCGGGUUGUAAACUGCUUUUGUACGGAACGAAACGGCUCUGGUUAAUACCUGGGGCUAAUGACGGUACCGUAAGAAUAAGCACCGGCUAACUACGUGCCAGCCGCCGCGGUAACAC